rnacentral:tRNA from 1 species
CCUUUGGUAGCUCAGUUGGUAGAGCGGAGGACUAUAGAAGAGUUUACUUUUCAUUGACCUAUCCUUAGGUUGCUGCUUUGAGUCUGGCUUGAAGGA